UACGUAGGGCGCAAGCGUUAUCCGGAAUUAUUGGGCGUAAAGAGCUCGUAGGCGGUUUGUCGCGUCUGCCGUGAAAGUCCGGGGCUCAACUCCGGAUCUGCGGUGGGUACGGGCAGACUAGAGUGAUGUAGGGGAGACUGGAAUUCCUGGUGUAGCGGUGAAAUGCGCAGAUAUCAGAGGAACACCGAUGGCGAAGGCAGGUCUCCUGGGC
rnacentral:rRNA from 1 species